rnacentral:rRNA from 1 species
GAUGAACGCUGGCGGCGUGCCUAAUACAUGCAAGUCGAGCGAACAGAUGAGGAGCUUGCUCCUCUGACGUUAGCGGCGGACGGGUGAGUAACACGUGGAUAACCUACCUAUAAGACUGGGAUAACUUCGGGAAACCGGAGCUAAUACCGGAUAAUAUAUUGAACCGCAUGGUUCAAUAGUGAAAGACGGUUUUGCUGUCACUUAUAGAUGGAUCCGCGCCGCAUUAGCUAGUUGGUAAGGUAACGGCUUACCAAGGCGACGAUGCGUAGCCGACCUGAGAGGGUGGUCGGCCACACUGGAACUGAGACACGUUCCAGACUCCUCCGGGAGGCAGCAGUAGGGAAUCUUCCGCAAUGGGCGAAAGCUUGACGGAGCAACGCCGCGUGAGUGAUGAAGGUCUUCGGAUCGUAAAACUCUGUUAUUAGGGAAGAACAAAUGUGUAAGUAACUAUGCACGUCUUGACGGUACCUAAUCAGAAAGCCACGGCUAACUACGUG